UACGGAGGAUCCGAGCGUUAUCCGGAUUUAUUGGGUUUAAAGGGUGCGCAGGCGGGAUGUUAAGUCGGCGGUGAAAUUUUGCAGCUCAACUGUAAAAGUGCCUUCGAUACUGGCUUUCUUGAGUGUGGAUGAAGUAGGCGGAAUUUGUGGUGUAGCGGUGAAAUGCUUAGAUAUCACGAGGAACUCCGAUUGCGCAGGCAGCUUACUAAACCACUACUGACGCUCAUGCACGAAGGCGUGGGGAUCAAACAGGAUUAGAUACCCGU
rnacentral:rRNA from 1 species